rnacentral:rRNA from 1 species
CCUACGGGUGGCAGCAGUGGGGAAUAUUGCACAAUGGGGGAAACCCUGAUGCAGCGACGCCGCGUGAGUGAAGAAGUAUUUCGGUAUGUAAAGCUCUAUCAGCAGGGAAGAAAAUGACGGUACCUGAGUAAGAAGCCCCGGCUAACUACGUGCCAGCAGCCGCGGUAAUACGUAGGGGGCAAGCGUUAUCCGGAUUUACUGGGUGUAAAGGGAGCGUAGACGGCAGAACAAGUCUGGAGUGAAAGGCGGGGGCUCAACCCCGGGACUGCUUUGGAAACUGUGCGGCUGGAGUGCAGGAGAGGUAAGUGGAAUUCCUAGUGUAGCGGUGAAAUGCGUAGAUAUCAGGAGGAACACCAGUGGCGAAGGCGGCUUGCUGGACUGUAACUGACGCUGAGGCUCGAAAGCGUGGGGAGCAAACAGGAGUAGAUACCCGAGUAGUC